UACGUAGGGUGCAAGCGUUAAUCGGAAUUACUGGGCGUAAAGCGUGCGCAGGCGGUUUUGUAAGACUGUCGUGAAAUCCCCGGGCUUAACCUGGGAACUGCGUUUGUGACUGCAUCGCUGGAGUGCGGCAGAGGGGGAUGGAAUUCCGCGUGUAGCAGUGAAAUGCGUAGAUAUGCGGAGGAACACCGAUGGCGAAGGCAAUCCCCUGGGCCUGCACUGACGCUCAUGCACGAAAGCGUGGGGAGCAAACAGG
rnacentral:rRNA from 1 species